GACUCGGUGGCGGACGGUCCGCGUCUGUUCAAAAUGAGUGUGCCCGAGCCUACUUGAGACAGUACUUCAGAAGCCGCCUGUUCGACUCAGGCCCGAGUCG